AAAAAGAAAAAAAGUUUAGACCGAUUAAGAAAAAAAAAAAGGAGAAUAGCUCAAGUGCUCAACCAUUGUCUCCUCCCUCUAUCCUCGCAGAACUACUCCUCCGCCGCUAUUUCUAGACCGUCUCCCCCAUCCUCCUCCCCCUCAGACAUCUCCUCCAUCUCCUCUUCCUCCGACGACCCAGCUCAUCCCAAACCCUAAAUCGAAAUUUUGGUUGAUUUAGUGUUUAUGCCCCAUCUUCCUCAUCUCUCUCUCUCUCACCUUGUUGGCUCUCUCAUUAAGCAUCCCGAUUCCGACUUAGGGUUUCCUCCAUGUUGAUUUAUAUCAAUUCCACCAUCAUGAAAAAGAGGCUCUCUAAGUCUCUGUAGAAAUAUUUGUUGGAAACGGAGAAGAGGCAUAACCGGUGGGCAAAAGAAGCAAUAUCUUACCACAUGUUAUUUAGUUCAUAGCCAAGAGUUCUCUAUCCGAUUCACCUUGUUCUUAGGCUAUGAAUGAACUCAGUUGUUUGGGCAAUUGCAGUUUGAUUGGGCAAAUCUUUUAAGACCACACAACCACACCACUUGCCACAAGGUCCCAAUAGGUUGGACUCCUUUUGUGCCACGGGAAACGAGGGUUUUCAAAAAAUCUUCAGCGGCAUGAAAUUAUUGAGCAGAGACUGGAUUUGGGAUGAUGACGGAUUCUAGAGAAGUAGAUGAACAUAAGCUUGAAGAAGCAGUUGGCCCGUUUAAAGGGAAGAGCUGUAAGAAGAUAGGUGCUUCUGUAUGGAGGACAAGUGAUUUCUUAGAGAAAUGAAAGGACAGAGCAGUUGCUUUAUAUGAGCACCAAGGAAGGACAUUUGCUCAAGGUUCGCUUCCGUUUGAACCAAGUGAUCAUCAUAGUGAUCAGCAUUAUCUCGAUCGAUCAGAGAGGGAUCGUUCGAGUCGGACGUGGUUCUCGUGAAGCCACCGUUUCAUUGAUAAGCCUCGUAGAGUGUACAUUCGAAGAAGAAACGAGGCAUGAGGCGCACGUGCGAUGAGAGAAGUUCACUUGUGCGAGUCUUUUGUGAUAUAAAAGGAUUGUUAGUUGGUUGUUAGAGGUAUGUUUUGGAGUUUGUUAGAUUGUGCAGAGUCGUGUGUGACUUAUGAGGGAGCCAGAGGAAUGUUCUAGCUGCGUCUAGUAACUCUCUGUGCUAAUCAAUUGUAUCGUCUUACUGAUCAGAUAAUAAAAAGAGAUCGUAUUCUUUUUCUUA